rnacentral:misc_RNA from 1 species
UCUCCGUAGGUGAACCUGCGGAGGGAUCAUUACAGAGUUCAUGCCCUACCGGGUAGAUCUCCCACCCUAUGUUAUUAUUACUUUGUUGCUUUGGCGGGCCGUUAGGCUCCGGCCCGACUACCGGCCCCGGCUGGUAAGCGCCCGCCAGAGGACCCAAAACCCUGAAUAUUAGUGUCGUCUGAGUACUAUAUAAUAGUUAAAACUUUCAACAACGGAUCUCUCGGUUCUGGCAUCGAUGAAGAGCGCAGC